CGAACGUUAGUAAUGCGAGAUAGUAAAUUGUAUUAAAUACCCAAAGAGAGUCAGUGGUUGGUGAAAACUGAUGGUUUAAUCUUUUGAAUCCAUCGCAUGAAGUAAGCAAUGAACUCACUACUUGUGAUAAAAUUGUUUCGGAUCCAGACCGUUAUCUGAUGUAAAGUGUAGAAGAUUCUAAGGCAAUCUUCUAAAGUUGGGUGGUACCGCGAACGUUGAGGCCAUUUCGUCCCAUAU
rnacentral:ncRNA from 1 species